rnacentral:rRNA from 1 species
ACAUGCAGAGAACUUUCCUAGAGAUGGAUUGGUGCCUUCGGGAACUCUGACACAGGUGCUGCAUGGUUGUCGUCAGCUCGUGCCGUGAGGUGUCGGGUUAAGUCCCAUAACGAGCGCAACCCUUGUCCUUAGUUACCAGCACGUUAUGGUGGGCACUCUAAGGAGACUGCCGGUGACAAACCGGAGGAAGGUGGGGAUGACGUCAAGUCAUCAUGGCCCUUACGGCCUGGGCUACACACGUGCUACAAUGGUCGGUACAAAGGGUUGCCAAGCCGCGAGGUGGAGCUAAUCCCAUAAAACCGAUCGUAGUCCGGAUCGCAGUCUGCAACUCGACUGCGUGAAGUCGGAAUCGCUAGUAAUCGUGAAUCAGAAUGUCACGGUGAAUACGUUCCCGGGCCUU